rnacentral:rRNA from 1 species
GACGAACGCUGGCGGCGUGCUUAAUACAUGCAAGUCGAGCGAACAGACCCCGUUCUUGCUCCUCGGACGUCAGAGGCGGAAGUGUCAGUUACAUGACCUUCACUUAACUUUAAGAUUGGGUUAGGUUACGGAAACUGAUGCCAGUUACGGAUAAUUUCUUGAUCGGCAUGGUUGAAAAGCUUCAGACGGUUUUGCUGUACUUUCUGCUUGUCACCGUGUCGCUUGAGUUAGUUGGUACGGUAACGGCUUACCAAGGCGAGGAUGCGUAGCCGACCUGAGAGGGGGAACGGCCACACAGGAACUGAGACGCGGUCCAGACUCCUACGGGAGGCAGCGGUAGGGAAUCUUCCGCAAUGGGCGGAAGCCUGACGGAGCAGCGCAGCGUGAGUGAUGAAGGUCUUCGGAUCGUAUAACUCUGUUAGUAGGGAAGAACGAAUGUGUAAGUAACUAUGCACGUCUUGACGGUACCUAAUCAGAAAGCCACGGCUAACUACGUG